rnacentral:tRNA from 1 species
GGGCGGGUAGCUCAGCGGGAGAGCAUCGGCCUUACAAGCCGGGGGUCACAGGUUCAAACCCUGUUCCGCCUA